rnacentral:rRNA from 1 species
GUAACGCCUGCCCAGUGAGUCUCACUUAAACGGCCGCGACUAAACGUGCAAAGGUAGCGCAAUCACUUGUUCCAUAAAUAGGGACCCGUAUGAACGGCCACAUGAGAAAGAAGCUGUCUCUUGAAGAUAGCCAAUGAAACUGAUCUGCUUGUUCAAAAGCAAGCAUAAUCAAGCUAGACAAAAAGACCCUGCGAAACUUAAAGCUAAGCAUUAAACAAACUAAUGCCUAACUUUUAGUUGGGGCAACUAUGAUACACUAAACAUCCUUAAACAUUCUAAACCAACAAGUUAAAAUUACUCAAACAAAAGAUCCGGCACUGCCGACCAACGAACCAAGCUACUCCAGGGAUAACAGCGCCAAAUUCUUUGAGAGUCCACAUCAACAAGAAUUCUUACGACCUCGAUGUUGGAUCAGGGUAUCCAAACAGCGCAGAAGCUGUUAACGGCUCGUUUGUUCAACGACUAACUAAGAUAGUUUAAUAAAACAUUAGGCCGUGAUCCUAACAAUAGAACUCCUGUUCUUCCUAGCCAAGAAGCCCACGUUAGAACUGCUAACUCCAACACCUGAUAUUAACACCUCAGACUUCUUACUUU